rnacentral:lncRNA from 1 species
UUGAUGUCUAGGUGGACUUUACGGUUAACCUGAACAGGUCUUGGAAAAAGGACUUUAAACAUUCUCCUGUUCUGUGGAAUAAGUAUACUUUUUUCUGGACAUACACCUUGUCAGUGAGUAUGUAUCAUAAUUCCUCAUAACUUCUUAUCAGGAAACAUUCGAUGUAGAAGAUUUCUUUCUCAACUUCUCUAAUUGCCCCUGUGGUUUGCAGGUUCCAUGUGAUACUAGAGUUGCAUAGAUUUUUAACCUUUACGCCAAUGAAGAUCUGAGGCAAACAUUGCCCCUUUUUUAGAAGUUUGCAUUUGUCACUGAUAACUGUAAUAAUUGAUCUUGUUGAAAAGCCUGGGAAAUGAAGAUCUGAUAUGUCACUUUUACCGGCUUCCUCAACUGAAAAAGAAUACAAUGAAACACGCUGAGG